rnacentral:rRNA from 1 species
UCCGUAGGUGAACCUGCGGAAGGAUCACUAGUGAUUAAAUCGAGAGCGUCUUCAUUGACCUCUCACCCUUCACAUCCACAUACACCUGUGCACCGUUUGGCUCUUUUAAAAGACGCAAGUCUGCAAAGAGAGUCAUCAAUUUUAUACAUACCCCAGUCUUAUGAAUGUAACAGUUUUAAUAAACAAAAUAAAACUUUUAACAACGGAUCUCUUGGUUCUCGCAUCGAUGAAGAACGCAGCGAAAUGCGAUAAGUAAUGUGAAUUGCAGAAUUCAGUGAAUCAUCGAAUCUUUGAACGCACCUUGCGCUCUUUGGUAUUCCGAAGAGCAUGCCUGUUUGAGUGUCAUGAAACUCUCAACCUCCAACUUUCUUAAUAGUCGGUUGGCGGCUUGGACUUGAGCGCUGCUGGUCUUUAUUGACCGGCUCGCUUGAAAUGAAUUAGCAGAUCCUUUUUGUAAUCGGUUCCACUCGACGUGAUAAGUAUUUCGCCGAGGACAUCUUAACGGAUGGCCGAGAUAAAGAAAGUCUUUAGAUCCGCUUCUAAUUCUUAGAUAGAGCUUGCUCUACUAAACCCCUUUUAUGAUCUGGCCUCAAAUCAGGUAGGACUACCCGCUGAACUUAAGCAUAUCAAUAAGCGGAGGA